rnacentral:rRNA from 1 species
GCAUAUCAAUAAGCGGAGGAAAAGAAACUAACAAGGAUUCCCCUAGUAACUGCGAGUGAAGCGGGAUAAGCUCAAAUUUAAAAUCUGGUGGUCUUUUGGUCAUCCGAGUUGUAAUUUAGAGAAGCGUCUUCCGCGCCGGACCGUGCACAAGUCUCCUGGAAUGGAGCGUCAUAGAGGGUGAGAAUCCCGUCUUUGGCAUGGACACCCGGGGCUUCUGUGAUGCGCUCUCGAAGAGUCGAGUUGUUUGGGAAUGCAGCUCAAAAUGGGUGGUGAACUCCAUCUAAAGCUAAAUAUUGGCGAGAGACCGAUAGCGAACAAGUACCGUGAGGGAAAGAUGAAAAGCACUUUGGAAAGAGAGUGAAACAGUACGUGAAAUUGUUGAAAGGGAAACGCUUGAAGUCAGUCGCGUUGACCGAGACUCAGCCUUGCCUCGGCUUGGUGUACUUCUCGGCUGACGGGCCAGUAUCAAUUUUGUCCCUCGGAUAAUGGCAAGGGAAAGGUGGCACCUUUACCGGUGUGUUAUAGUCUCUUGUCGCAUGCGAGGGGCGGGAUUGAGGAACUCAGCACGCACCUUUUGGUGUCGGGGCCUUUUGGCCCACGUUACGUGCUUAGGAUGCUGGCGUAAUGGCUUUAAACGACCCGUCUUGAAACACGGACCAAGGAGUCUAACAUGCCYGCGAGUGUUCGGGUGGAAAACCCGUGCGCGUAAUGAAAGUGAAAGUUGGGACCUCUGUCGUGGAGGGCACCGACGCCCGGACCAGACCUUCUGUGACGGAUCUGCGGUAGAGCGUGCAUGUUGGGACCCGAAAGAUGGUGAACUAUGCCUGAAUAGGGUGAAGCCAGAGGAAACUCUGGUGGAGGCUCGUAGCGAUUCUGACGUGCAAAUCGAUCGUCAAAUUUGGGUAUAGGGGCGAAAGACUAAUCGAACCAUCUAGUAGCUGGUCUGC